UCGAGAAUCUUCGGCAAUGGGCGCAAGCCUGACCGAGCGACGCCGCGUGGAGGACGAAGGCCUUCGGGUUGUAAACUCCUGUCGAGGGGGAAGAAGGGGCCGCGAGGCCCUUGACUGAUCCCUGGAGGAAGCACGGGCUAAGUUCGUGCCAGCAGCCGCGGUAAGACGAACCGUGCGAACGUUAUUCGGAAUCACUGGGCUUAAAGCGCGUGUAGGCGGGGCGGCACGUCCGUCGCUGAAAUCCCCCGGCUCAACCGGGGAACGGGCGCGGAUACGACCGUCCUGGAGGGACGUAGGGGGACCUGGAACUUCCGGUGGAGCGGUGAAAUGCGUUGAGAUCGGAAGGAACGCCCGUGGCGAAAGCGAGGUCCUGGACGUCUGCUGACGCUGAGACGCGAAAGCCAGGGGAGCGAACGGGAUUAGAUACCCCUGUAGUCC
rnacentral:rRNA from 1 species